rnacentral:rRNA from 1 species
CCCCUAGAUGUUCUGGGCCGCACGCGCGCUACACUGAACAGUUCAACAAGUCUUAACCUUGGCCGAUAGGUCUGGGUAAUCUUUGAACGCUGUUCGUGAUUGGGAUAGACCUUUGCAAUUAUGGGUCUUCAACGAGGAAUUCCUAGUAAACGCAAGUCAUGAGCUUGCAUUGAUUACGUCCCUGCCCUUUGUACACACCGCCCGUCGCACCUACCGAUUGAAUGGUCCGGUGAAAUCUCGGGACGGCGGCUUGGUCGCUUGCGUCCGACUGCUGAAACUUGAUUAAACCAUAUCAUUUAGAGGAAGGUGAAGUCGUAACA